rnacentral:piRNA from 1 species
UGCCUGCUGAAGGAUUAAUCUUGUGUGCAGA